rnacentral:rRNA from 1 species
UACAGAGGGGGCAAGCGUUGUUCGGAAUUACUGGGCGUAAAGGGCGCGUAGGCGGUUUGUCGCGUCGGGAGUGAAAACCUUGGGCUUAACUCAGGGCUUGCUUUCGAUACGGGCAGACUAGAGGUAUGCAGGGGAGAACGGAAUUCCUGGUGUAGCGGUGAAAUGCGCAGAUAUCAGGAGGAACACCGGUGGCGAAGGCGGUUCUCUGGGCAUGAUCUGACGCUGAGGAGCGAAAGUGUGGGAGCGAACAGG